ACCUGACUGACUCAGUCUGUAGAGCAUAUGACUCUUGAUCUCAGGGUUGUGAGUUCAAGCCCCACGUUGGGUG
rfam:Ailuropoda melanoleuca scaffold1873_6, whole genome shotgun sequence.